UGGCGGUAGGCCUAACACAUGCAAGUCGAACGGCAGCACAGGAGAGCUUGCUCUCUGGGUGGCGAGUGGCGGACGGGUGAGGAAUACAUCGGAAUCUACUUUUUCGUGGGGGAUAACGUAGGGAAACUUACGCUAAUACCGCAUACGACCUACGGGUGAAAGCAGGGGAUCUUCGGACCUUGCGCGAUUGAAUGAGCCGAUGUCGGAUUAGCUAGUUGGCGGGGUAAAGGCCCACCAAGGCGACGAUCCGUAGCUGGUCUGAGAGGAUGAUCAGCCACACUGGAACUGAGACACGGUCCAGACUCCUACGGGAGGCAGCAGUGGGGAAUAUUGGACAAUGGGCGCAAGCCUGAUCCAGCCAUACCGCGUGGGUGAAGAAGGCCUUCGGGUUGUAAAGCCCUUUUGUUGGGAAAGAAAUCCAGCUGGUUAAUACCCGGUUGGGAUGACGGUACCCAAAGAAUAAGCACCGGCUAACUUCGUGCCAGCAGCCGCGGUAAUACGAAGGGUGCAAGCGUUACUCGGAAUUACUGGGCGUAAAGCGUGCGUAGGUGGUCGUUUAAGUCCGUUGUGAAAGCCCUGGGCUCAACCUGGGAACUGCAGUGGAUACUGGACGACUAGAGUGUGGUAGAGGGUAGCGGAAUUCCUGGUGUAGCAGUGAAAUGCGUAGAGAUCAGGAGGGACAUCCAUGGCGAAGGCAGCUACCUGGACCAACACUGACACUGAGGCACGAAAGCGUGGGGA
rnacentral:rRNA from 1 species